rnacentral:lncRNA from 1 species
CUCCGCCCCGCCCAAGGCCCCGCCCACCGCGCUGACGCCUGCCCCACUGCGGCCGCCUGCGAGGUAAGCACGCGCUUCUCGGCCUCUAAACUUCCAAACAGGCCCCUCCACACAGCCCCUCAGGGUGCUGAAGGAGUUACCGUAAUCAGACUCGUUAUCAGAAACAUUUUUUUUAAAAGCUCAUGAACGCUCCAAGGCCUCACCCACAGUUAAUCCAACUUUAAUGGCCUUAUCUUACCAGCUCCGGCCUGGCCUCCGAGUCCAGCCUCCAUCAUUUCCGGGGGAGGGCGGGACUUCCUGUCUGGGGAGGAGCCAAUUGGGAACGGGUUCUGCUGCCUGUGGACCCGAUUGGCUGAAUGCUUUUCAAAGUCCCAGUCUCUUUUAUUCUCUUCAAUUAAAAAGAGAGCAAGACAAAAGAAAAGAAGGAAACAGAAAUGACCUGAAUCCUCAAGAUUUCUACUUUCUAUGAAGACCUAAAUGGCUAUCAAUCAGCUCCUGAUGAGUGGCUGCCUAGAAUCCUGUGCUGGGAAGGAAUGUGAAAUGAGAUCCAGGGAGCCCUGCGAACUCUGAGCACUGGCCUCCAUUGCUGAGCAAGCAGUACAGUACGUAAGUGGGGCACACCCACCACUUAUUAGCCAUCUCUGACUUCCCUAUUUGUUGAUAUAAUGCAAAAUGCACUAGUAGGAAGAUAUUAGCACAAAUCCAGCUUGAAUGAAAGAAAAUAGAAGGCAAAAAUACAUCUUUACAUAGAAUUACCAACCACAGCUGCAGCCCUUAUAAACUUAGGGAUUUCUAAUACUUGUCAAUCCUAGAAUUAUUAUUAUCAUUACUUCAAGAAAUACAUUUAUUUUUGGGGGGCC